rnacentral:rRNA from 1 species
UACGGGGGGAGCAAGCGUUGUUCGGAUUUACUGGGCGUAAAGGGCGCGUAGGCGGCGUGACAAGUCACUUGUGAAAUCUCAGGGCUCAACCCUGAAAUUGCGACCAAUACUGGUCGACUAGAGUGCAAGAGAGGAAGGUGGAAUUCCCGGUGUAGUAGUGAAAUGCGUAGAUAUCGGGAGGAACACCAGUGGCGAAGGCGGCCUUCUGGCUUGCAACUGACGCUGUAGCGCGAAAGCGUGGGGAGCGAACCGG